GGCUGCUGCCGGGUAUGUGCACGGCGGCUGGGGGAGCCCUGCGACCAACUCCACGUCUGCGACGCCAGCCAGGGCCUGGUCUGCCAGCCCGGGGCAGGACCCGGUGGCCGGGGGGCCCUGUGCCUCUGUAAGCAGUGGCAGAGGACGACAGCAGCUGUGAGGUGAACGGCCGCCUGUAUCGGGAGGGGGAGACCUUCCAGCCCCACUGCAGCAUCCGCUGCCGCUGCGAGGACGGCGGCUUCACCUGCGUGCCGCUGUGCAGCGAGGACGUGCGGCUGCCCAGCUGGGACUGCCCCCACCCCAGGAGGGUCGAGGUCCUGGGCAAGUGCUGCCCUGAGUGGGUGUGCGGCCAAGGAGGGGGACUGGGGACCCAGCCCCUUCCAGCCCAAGGACCCCAGUUUUCUGGCCUUGUCUCUUCCCUGCCCCCUGGUGUCCCCUGCCCAGAAUGGAGCACGGCCUGGGGAUCCUGCUCGACCACCUGUGGGCUGGGCAUGGCCACCCGGGUGUCCAACCAGAACCGCUUCUGCCGACUGGAGACCCAGCGCCGCCUGUGCCUGUCCAGGCCCUGCCCACCCUCCAGGGGUCGCAGUCCACAAAACAGUGCCUUCUAGAGCCGGGCUGGGAAUGGGGACACGGUGUCCACCAUCCCCAGCUGGUGGCCGUGUGCCUGGGCCCUGGGCUGAUGGAAGAUGGUCCGUGCCCAGGCCCUUGGCUGCAGGCAACACUUUAGCUUGGGUCCACCAUGCAGAACACCAAUAUUAACACGCUGCCUGGUCUGUCUGGAU
rnacentral:sRNA from 1 species